UUGAAGAGCUAGCUCAAUUGGCAGAACAUUGAGACUCUGAAUCUCAGGGUUAUGGGUUUGAACCCCACAUUGGGCAAAA